rnacentral:rRNA from 1 species
AACCGUGCAAAGGUAGCGUAAUCACUUGUCCCUUAAAUGAGGACCCGUAUGAAAGGUUAAUUGAGGACAAAACUGUCUCUUACGGCCAAUCAAUGAAACUGAUCUCCCAGUACAAAAGCUGGAAUAAACCCAUAAGACGAGAAGACCCUGCGGAGCUUUAAGCCAUAGUAUUGCCACAUCUUUUAAAAACCCACCACGGGCAUAACAAUAUGUAAACAAUAUUAACUUUUAGUUGGGGCGACUGCGGAGAAAACCAAACCUCCAUGAAAACAGGCUAACACCCACCACAAGACCAACAAGCCAAAUGGUAAAACCACUUGACCCAGCAAAGCUGAUUGCCGAACCAAGUUACCCCAGGGAUAACAGCGCCAUCCCCUUCAAGAGUCCCUAUCGCCAAGGGGGUUUACGACCUCGAUGUUGGAUCAGGACACCCCGAUGGUGCAGCUACUAUCAAAGGUUCGUUUGUUCAACGAUUAAUGUCCCACGUGAU